rnacentral:precursor_RNA from 1 species
ACGGAAAAAAACACAUACUGAAACUUUUUAGUCCCUGUGUAAUAAGGUAGGCAUCAAUAAAUUUUGACGCAAAUUUUCGAAUUUUCGGGGUUUCGGUAGUGGGUAAA